rnacentral:rRNA from 1 species
CCUACGGGUGGCAGCAGUGGGGAAUAUUGCACAAUGGGGGAAACCCUGAUGCAGCAACGCCGCGUGAGCGAUGAAGGCCUUCGGGUCGUAAAGCUCUGUCCUAAGGGAAGUAUACUGACGGUACCUUAGGAGGAAGCCCCGGCUAACUACGUGCCAGCAGCCGCGGUAAUUCGUAGGGGGCUAGCGUUAUCCGGAAUUGCUGGGCGUAAAGGGGGCAUAGGCGGCCCUUCAAGUCAGAGGUGAAAGGCUACGGUUCAAUCGGAAUAAGCCGUUGAAACUGAAGGGCGUGAGUGCAGGAGAGGAGAGGGGAACUCCCAGUGCAGCGGUGAAAAGCGUAGAUAUUGGGGGGAACACCAGGUGCGAAGGCGGCUCUCUGGACUGUAACUGCCGCUGAGGCACGAAAGCGUGGGGGGCGAACAGGAUUAGAUACCCUUGUAGUC